UACGGAGGAUGCGAGCGUUAUCCGGAUUUAUUGGGUUUAAAGGGUGCGUAGGCGGCUUUUUAAGUCAGCGGUGAAAUUUUGCAGCUUAACUGUAACAGUGCCGUUGAUACUGGGGAUCUAGGAUUUGGUUGCUGUGGGUGGAAUGUGUGGUGUAGCGGUGAAAUGCUUAGAGAUCACACAGAAUAUCGAUUGCGAAGGCAGCUCACAAAGCCAAGAUUGACGCUGAGGCACGAAGGCGUGGGGAUCAAACAGGAUUAGA
rnacentral:rRNA from 1 species